rnacentral:rRNA from 1 species
GCGUAACACAUGCAAGUCGAACGAAAACCAAGGAGCUUGCUUCUUGGGGAAAGUGGCGAACGGGUGAGUAACACGUGAGUAACCUGCCCUCGAGUGGGGAACAACCCCGCGAAAGCGGGGCUAAUACCGCAUAAUACUCUGCAGCAUAUGCUGUCGGAGUCAAAGCCCCUCGGGGCGCUUGAGGAUGGGCUCGCGGCCUAUUAGCUUGUUGGUAGGGUAACGGCCUACCGAGGCUGCGAUGGGUAGCCGGCCUGAGAGGGUGUACGGCCACACUGGGACUGCGACACGGCCCAGACUCCUACGGGAGGCAGCAGUGGGGAAUUUUGCGCAAUGGGCGAAAGCCUGACGCAGCGACGCCGCGUGGAGGAAGAAGGUCUUCGGAUUGUAAACUCCUGUCAGAGGUGAAGAAAACCCUUUCGGGGGUCUGACGGUAACCUCAGAGGAAGCCACGGCUAACUACGUGCCAGCAGCCGCGGUAAUACAGUAGGGGGCAAACGUUGCUCGGA